CCUACGGGAGGCUGCAGUAGGGAAUCUUCCACAAUGGGCGAAAGCCUGAUGGAGCAACGCCGCGUGUGUGAUGAAGGGUUUCGGCUCGUAAAACACUGUUGUAAGAGAAGAAUGACAUUGAGAGUAACUGUUCAAUGUGUGACGGUAUCUUACCAGAAAGGAACGGCUAAUACGUGCCAGCAGCCGCGGUAAUACGUAUGUUCCAAGCGUUAUCCGGAUUUAUUAGGCGUAAAGCGAGCGCAGACGGUUAUUUAAGUCUGAAGUGAAAGCCCUCAGCUCAACUGAGGAAUUGCUUUGGAAACUGGAUGACUUGAGUGCAGUAGAGGAAAGUGGAACUCCAUGUGUAGCGGUGAAAUGCGUAGAUAUAUGGAAGAACACCAGUGGCGAAGGCGGCUUUCUGGACUGUAACUGACGUUGAGGCUCGAAAGUGUGGGUAGCAAACAGGAUUAGAUACCCUUGUAGUC
rnacentral:rRNA from 1 species